rnacentral:rRNA from 1 species
UACGAGAGGCCCAAACGUUAUUCGGAUUUACUGGGCUUAAAGAGUUCGUAGGCGGUUGGAUAAGUCAGCUGUGAAAACCACGGGCUUAACUCGUGGCCUGCAGUUGAGACUGUCUGGCUUGAGUGUGGGAGAGGAGAGUGGAAUUCCUGGUGUAGCGGUGAAAUGCGUAGAUAUCAGGAGGAACACCGGUGGCGAAGGCGGCUCUCUGGACCACAACUGACGCUGAGGCGCGAAAGCUAGGGGAGCAAACAGG